rnacentral:rRNA from 1 species
AUUGCACGCUGGCGGCAGGCCUAACACAUGCAAGUCGAACGAGUGGCGGACGGGUGAGUAAUGUCUGGGAAAAUGCCUGAUGGAGGGGGAUAACUACUGGACACGGUAGCUAAUACCGCAUACCAUCAGAUGUGCCCAGAUGGGAUUGGCUUGUUGGUGGGGUAACGGCUCACCAAGGCGACGAUCCCUAGCUGGUAUGAGAGGAUGACCAGCCACACGGGAACUGAGACACGGUCCAGACUCCUACGUGAGGCAGCAGGGGGGAAUAUUGCACAAUGGGCGCAAGGCUGAUGCAGCCAUGCCGCGUGUAUGAAGAAGGCCUUCGGGUUGUAAAGUACUGUCAGCGGGGAGGCGUUACCCGCAGAAGAAGCACCGGCUAACUCCGUGCCAGCCGCCGCGGUAAUU